CAUACCAGCUCUCAGGGGCGUUUGUCAUGGGGUCCCUAUCCAUAAUGGGCUGUUGUUGUGUCAACUUUCAUUGCCUUAUUUUCUUAGACUAACAACGGGAGUGAACUUUCUAAUCAUGUGAGAGCUAUAUCCUUGGAAACACCUUUUUAUCUUUUGUUAAGCCAUAAAAAAGGCUUACUGGUUUGAGUCUGUAUUUGAAAUUAAUAUAAAAUCCUACUCAUCAAUGGACAAAGGAUCCUUUUUUAAAAAAAAAUAAUUUAUUUUUAAUUGGAGGAUAAUUGCUUUACAGUAUUGUGUUGGUCUCUGCCAUACAUCAACAUUAAUCAGCCAUAGGUCAAAAGAUCCUUUAAGUAGGUUAUAUUUAAGAGGAAAAAAAUUUGAAAGCUCUCAUCGUAAAUAACUGUUACUUGGUACUUAUGAGAGGAACAAAUUGAAAGGAAAAAUAAACUGUAAUGGUGAGCCUUAGAGAAUCCCUUAUUAAGAUGAAAAAACAGAAAUUAGACUUAAAAGUAAGAUCCAACAUAAAUUCCCGUUUAAAAAAAAUCGCCCAUCUCCUCUACAAUUCCUCAGGCCCUCCUAGGAAUAACCAGGAAGUAGAUUAGCUGGAAGCUUAAUACAAACAAUUAUCAAGGGCUAAUAGAAACAAUUUUUUUUUUUUGUCUUGCAAAACUACAAAAUUAGAAAUGCAACUGUAGUAACAAAUCAAGACCCACUUGUUUUACCAUUUCCAAAAGCUUACCCGUUCCUCUUAAAAUGCCUUCUAGAUAUUAUAGAAGAUCACAAUAUUGGAGCAAAACUGUCCUGUACUUUAAAAAUUAUUUUAAAAUAAUAAUUACCCUAAGGCUUAUAAUAAUAGAUAAAUAUAAUCCAAAACUCCUACGAGAAAACUGAACUUAAAAGGCCUUUUUUUGGCCUUAAAAGUUAUAAAUAUUGUCAUAUCUUUGAAAUGUAAACACAGCCCACCUUGCCUGAGAUUAAGCCUCGAUUGGCUGAAUUGGUAGAACCUGAAACCGAAAAAGAAGGAAAGAUGCCUUUUAAAACACAAACCGCUGAAAGGAUCUCUUGCCCAAAUUCGAGUAAAUCACACCCCUCUACAACUGUUUGUCAAGGACAAAUACAGAAUUUAAGUCCUUCCCACAAAUAAUAAAAGAUGUUAGCCAUCUCCCUAACUAUGACUUAGAGCAAUUUGGUCCACUAUACAUUUGUAAGCAGCACUGAAACAUUUCUUUUUCUCUCUGCUGGAUCCCUUCAGAAGUCAGAAACUCUCAGGAUGAUGGUCAUGAUAUUAAAAUAAUCCGAAGUGGACCAUGCUGAUGGAGCAGUUCACAGAAGAGGAAUUGGAGAAACCACCUUCCACUGCACACUAAAUGAACUUCAUUUCCCGCUUUUCUCUUUUCCUGUAUUUCUUUGCAUGAGAUUUUCUGAGAUGAGUUGUGUAAGAGGGCAGUGACUGAUAAAACAACUACAAAAUCCUCGUUUUUGGCUUUUGUCCUUUUAGUUAAGCUUAUUGCCCAGAUGACCUAUGCAUUGCUUUAUUUAGUUGGAAUAAAAUCAGUACUGUAUUUAAUCA